rnacentral:lncRNA from 1 species
UGUAACGACCCAAAUUUUACGUCCAAAAAUUUCGUUUUUAAAAUAUUACUUUAGAAAACAUUAAUGAAUAAAAACAUUAUCUAAAUAAAAAGAAGCGUUGUUUGUUCACACCAUAACACAUUGCAACCAUGUUCUAAAAAGCCACACCAUACAUCCCAUCAAAAUAUCAGAGUACAAUCCCAGUAAAUCUCCUAAAUGCGGAAACCGAAGAGUGUGUGUAUGACGUGCCGCUACCGCGCCGGCUCCUUCCCCUUCGAUGCAGAGGUACCUGAAAACAAAACUGUAAACGUAAGCACAAAGCUUAGUGAGUUCCCCCAACGUACCGCAUACCAUACAAACACAUAACAUAUAUACUGCCAGGCUAUUCUGGGGUGCCUGACUACCCGGUACGGCCAUUCUGGGGUGCCGACCUACCCAUACGGCCAUUCUGGGGUGCCGUCUUACCCGUGUCAAGCCAUUCUGGGGUGCUGACUACCCAUCGGUCCUAACAACCGAUCCUCGGGGACUAUUUCACCCCUACUACUACGAUCACAUAUAACAUAACAAGCCAGCAUGCAUACAUAUCGUCACAUACUGUCAGACGUAUCUGGGGUGUCUGACUACCCUUCGGUCCGAACAACCAAACUCUACUACUAUCACAUACAGCAUAUCAUGCUAGCAUAUAACAUGUCAGGUACUAGCGAACUUAGAUGAUAUCACAAAGACAAUCAUCUAUCAUACAACUCCUACUGGUGGGUCGGCAUUGUGGCCUUAGACCCACCGCUACUGGAAGGUAACUCACCUCAAAGUAGCUGCUGAACUGAUCGGGAACUAACUGACUGCUGCUGCUCCGGGAGUCCUCCGGCUGCAAUUUCCACGACAUACUCAAUCAAACACUGCUAACUGUCCUUUAGGUAAAAUGACCAUUUUACCCCUGGAUUAACUCUAAGCCAAAGCUGGAGUCAACUUUCAGUUGACCCGACUCGCCGAGUGGAUCACCACUCGCCGAGUCCCUAGCAAACCAAUGUCCUGGGUCCCUGGUUCUACUCGUCGAGUCGGGCUAUGACUCGACGAGUUCACCUUCUAACUGCCAUUCAACACCUUCAUCCUACUCGCCGAGUUGUAUGAACAACUCGUCGAGUUCAUCUUCAUCCGAUGAACACUUUAUGCUAAGACUCGCCGAGUUGUAUGAACAACUCGCCGAGUCUGUUCUUGAGCUAUGAAGAUUGCCUUGGACUCGCCGAGUCAGGGCAUUGACUCGCCGAGUCCUAACAUGGGUGAGUUCAGCUCCCAACUCACCGAGUCACCCCCUGUGACUCAAGGCUCAACUCGACACAUGAAGAAGGGACCAAUUCGGUGACUCGCGACCAGACUCGCCGAGUCACCUAUGCGACUCGCCGAGUCGUCGCCAUGCACUCCUUAAAUAUACCGAUUUGCUCGGUUCCAGACCAUGCCAUUCAUAGAUCUGGACUUCUAGGACACGAAUCACACGUAAAGUUUCCAACUUUACGUGUGGAUAUUCACCAAUAUGGAUUAUAAGGCUCAAAAUGUCUCAAAAUGGUAGAUCUAGGGCUAACAAGCCUCAUGAGGCCAAAAAGCUAACAGAUCUGAGCUCCUGGAGCUCAAUCUUACAUAGAUCCAAAGGCCAAACGCCUUAUUACAACAUAUAAUGAACAUGCAAACUUGGGGAAUUGACCAAGAAGGACCCAAAUGAAGUUUUAAGCAUAGAAUCAAGGGGAAAACGGGUUAUACCUCAAAGGAAAUGUUGAAAUGACACAAGGAUGGCUGAUCUCCUUCUCCUCUUCUUGAUCUACUCCUCUUACUCUUCAAAACCUUCAAGAACACACCAAGAACACCUCAAACUCUCAAGGAAACAAGGGAAAACGAUGUAGGGGGAGUUCUGGGGGUGAAUGGGGACGAGUUGGGGCGGAAUGAGGGUUUAAAUAGGGUGCAAACCCUUGAAACUUAGGGUUUCAUCCCGCAGCGGUGACUCGCCGAGUCCAGGAUAUGGACUCGUCGAGUCGCCUACUUAAAACGCGUCCUGAGUCUCGUCCCUACUCGGCGAGUCGGACCCUAUGACUCGCCGAGUCUAAGGCUAAAUUAGGGCAAUGCUCAAAUAAAAUUCACAUACCGGAAACCAGGUGCUACAAAUCUCCCCCACUUAUUUUAGACUUCGUCCUCGAAGUCUGCUGCCUGAUCCUGAAACAGCUCGGGGUAGUGCUCCAUCAUCUCGUCUACCGGCUCCCAAGUCCACUCUGAACCCUUGCGGUGCUGCCAUUGCACCUUCACUAGCUCCACCCUCUUGUUCCUUAAAUCCUUCGACUUCCUGUCGAGGAUUGCGACUGGGCGCUCGAUGUAGUUCAGGCUGUCAUCAACCUGAAUAUCCUCCAAAGGUACUACUGCAGAAUCGUCCACUAGGCACUUCCGCAACUGCGAAACAUGGAAAGUGCUGUGGAUCUGGCUAAGCUCGGCUGGCAGAUCCAGCCUAUAUGCUACCUUGCCCACCCGGGCUAAGACCCUGAACGGUCCGAUGAAUCGCGGGCCCAACUUGCCCCGCUUCCUGAAUCGGAUGACGCCUUUCCACGGUGACACCUUCAGGAGGACCAUAUCCCCGACCUGGAACUCUAAAUCGGAUCGACGCUUGUCGGCAUAACUUUUCUGUCGACUCUGAGCAGUCUGAAGCCUGCUCCGGACCUGCUGUAUCCUCUCAGUCGUCUUGAGCACCACUUCGGUGCUUCCCAUAACUCUCUGGCCAACCUCACCCCAGCAUAUCGGGGUCCUACACCUCCGUCCGUACAACAUCUCGAAGGGAGGGCGGUCGAUACUCGCGUGAUAGCUGUUGUUGUAGGAGAACUCAGCCAAAGGAAGAUAGGUAUCCCAGCUACCACCGAAAUCCAGAACACACGCCCGCAACAUGUCCUCCAAAGUCUGGAUGGUCCGCUCACUCUGUCCAUCUGUCUGCGGGUGAAAGGCGGUGCUGAAAUGCAGACGAGUGCCCAACUCGUCAUGGAAUCUCUUCCAAAACCUGGAAGUAAAACGCACAUCCCUGUCCGAGAUCACCGAUACUGGCACCCCAUGCCGUGCCACAAUCUCCCUGAUAUAGAUGUCGGCCAAUUUCUCGGCCGAUAUGCUCUCCGGAAUCGGAAUAAAGUGAGCACUCUUGGUCAAUCUAUCCACGAUGACCCAAAUCGAAUCCACUCCACGCGCGGUCCUGGGAAGCUUCGUGAUAAAAUCCAUCGUGAUAUCUUCCCACUUCCACAGUGGAAUGUCCAACGGCUGCAUCUUGCCAUGCGGCCUCUGAUGUUCGGCCUUGACCUUCCUGCAGGUCAAGCACCGCUCGACGUACCAUGCCACAUCCCGCUUCAUGCAGGGCCACCAAUAGUCUAGACGAAGAUCCCUAUACAUCUUCGUCGCCCCGGGAUGAAUAGAGAAUCGGGACUUGUGCGCCUCCUCCAUCAAAAUCUGGCGCACGCCCCCGUGAUACGGCACCCACACCCUAUGGUGUAGUGUCAAUAACCCUCGGCUAUCAUAAUCGAAGGAGGAAACCUGACCUACUACGCGCUCGUUCUUCCGAUGCUCCUCCUUGAUAGCCUCCUGUUGAGCUUCCCGAAUCUGCUCCAACAGGGGAGUCACCACAGUCAUCCUCAAACAGGCGUCCCUGAUCGGCGCCGUCUUGCGGCUAAGCGCAUCGGCCACCACAUUGGCCUUUCCCGGGUGGUAAAGGAUCUCGCAAUCAUAAUCCUUCACCACAUCCAACCACCGACGCUGCCUCAUGUUCAGAUUCGGCUGGUCCAUGAGGUACCUCAAGCUCUUGUGGUCCGUGUAGAUGGUACACCGAACCCCAUAGAGGUAAUGUCGCCAAAUCUUGAGGGCAAAUACCACCGCCCCCAACUCCAAAUCGUGCGUCGGGUAGUUCGCCUCGUGAGGCUUGAGCUGCCUCGAAGCGUAAGCAAUGACAUGCCCCCUUUGCAUCAGCACCGCGCCCAACCCAGAAAUGGACGCAUCGCAAUAAACCACGAAAUCCUCUACGCCCUCUGGCAGGGCUAAGAUCGGCGCCUCACACAAUCUCUGUCUCAGCGUCUCAAAUGCAGCCUGCUGCUCGGGUCCCCACCGAAAGACCACGGCUUUCUUCGUCAGCCGCGUCAGGGGCACGGCUAUCUUGGAGAAAUCCUGGAUAAAUCUCCGAUAGUAGCCUGCCAAUCCUAGGAAGCUCCGAAUCUCAGAUGGGGACUUCGGAACCUCCCAUCUCAUCACGGCCUCGACCUUGGCCGGAUCGACCAGAAUCCCGUUCUGGUUGACGAGGUGCCCCAGAAAUUGCACCUCGCGCAACCAAAACUCACACUUGGAGAACUUGGCAUACAAGCUCUCCCUCCUCAGGGUCUCUAACACCUCUCUCAAAUGCUCCUCAUGUUCCUCCCGGGUCUUGGAAUAAACCAAGAUAUCAUCGAUAAAGACUAUCACAGACCGGUCCAGCAUCGGUCUGCAUACACGGUUCAUGAGGUCCAUGAACGCGGCAGGAGCAUUGGUGAGCCCAAACGGCAUCACCACAAACUCGUAAUGGCCAUAGCGCGUCCGAAACGCGGUCUUCUGCAUAUCCUCCUCCCUGACCCUCAUCUGAUGAUAACCCGAACGCAAAUCAAUCUUGGAGAACCAAGAUGCGCCCUGAAGCUGGUCAAAGAGGUCAUCAAUCCUCGGAAGCGGGUAACGGUUCUUCACCGUUACCUUGUUCAGCUCCCGAUAAUCUAUACACAUCCGAUGCGACCCAUCCUUCUUCUUCACAAACAGAAUCGGGGCUCCCCAGGGCGAACUGCUCGGCCGAAUAAAUCCCUUGUCCAGCAGCUCCUGCAGCUGCGUAGACAACUCCUGCAUCUCGGGAGGAGCCAACCGAUACGGUGCUUUGGCUAUCGGAGCCGCACCGGGAACGAGGUCAAUCCUGAACUCCACCUGUCGCUCCGGAGGUAUCCCAGGUAGUUCCUCCGGAAAAACAUCAGCAAAAUCUCGAACCACCGGGACCUCGCUCACGGUCGCCUUACCCGCCUCCCGGGUGUCCAUCACGUACGCGACAUAACCCGCGCAUCCCUGCUGAAGGUAGCGCCUAGCCCUCGCUGCUGAACAUACAGUGGGUCCACACUGCGGCCGCUCUCCAUGAAUCACUAACUCUCCCCCGCUUGGGGUCUUGACUCGCACUAGCUGCUGUGCGCAAUCUAUCACUGCCCCAUUAGGGCUCAACCAAUCCAUACCAAUAAUCACCUUGUUCCCACGCAAUGGAAUGGGAACCAAGUCUACCAGGUAACACUCCUCAAACAGUCGCAGGACACAAUCUCGAAACACCAUCGAUGCUCGCACCGAUCGAUCAUCGGCAAUCUCUACCUCUAACGGGCAAUCUAACUCGCCUGAAGUCUCAUGAAAUCUCUUGCUAAGAGCAAGAGAAACGAACGAUCGGGAUGCACCCGAGUCGAACAAUACCUGAACCGGGAUGCCGUUCACAUGGAACGAUCCUAAUACACAUGUAUACACACGGAGCACAUAUCAAUAUCAUAACAACGUAAAAUAAAAGAUAGAAGGAAGGAAUCAUACCCGUCACCACAUCGGGCGCGGCGCGUGCCUCCUCGGCAGUCAACUGAAAUGCCCGACUCCUCACCACUGGAGCCUCUGCCUUGCCCUGACGGCCAUCCGUGAUCCGCAGGGUCGCUGGAGCUGGCGCCUUCACUGGCGCUGAAGCUGUCAACAUGGGGCAAUUGGCCUUCUUGUGGCCCCUCUGGUUGCAGUGGAAACACAGCAACUCCGAUGUCUGAAUAACGGUCGCAGGAGCAGUGCAAUCCCUGCUGAUAUGCCCAAACUUGCCGCACUUGUAGCAGCCUGACGAUCCCAUCCUGCACGCCCCCUCGUGCGGCCUGCCGCACCUCCUGCAGCGGCUCGGUCCCGACUGGCCUUUCGGCCUCCCAUCUGAUCCCUUGGGCUUCUUCCCCGAAGCCCCCGAUGACUGACCAUCCUCAAGUUUCCGUUUCCGGAUGUGCUCCAAAUCUAUCUCUCUCUCCCUAGCCCUGGCAAUCAUGGAGUCCAGGGUAGGGCAAGCCGAAAAGCUAACAUGCUCCCGAAUGUCAGCUCGUAGCAUAUCGUGGUAACGAGUCCUCCUCAUAUCCUCGUCACCUGCAUACUGGGGCACCAAUAAAGCCCUCUCCCGAAACUUGGCGGUGAUCUCCGCCACGGUCUCUGUCGUCUGCCUCAUGUCUAAGAACUCCCUGGCCAGCUGCUGAAGCUCGACCGCUGGCGCAAACUCUGCCCUGAACCUAGCCACAAAGUCCGACCAGGUCAUUGCCUCGAUAGCCGAGGCUCCCAUCGAGUCACCCACUGACUCCCACCAAUCUCGGGCCCGGUCCCGUAAACACCCUGCUGCGUACCUCACCUUCGACCCCUCGGGGCAGAAGCUGAUCAACUGGGCGGACUCGAUAUCCGCAAUCCACCGCCUGGCGACAAUGGGGUCCUUCACCCCAUGGAAAUCCGGCGCACCACUGCUCCUGAAGUCCUUGAAGGACAGUGUGCGAGAUCCUGACUGGCUAGAGGCCAAGUCGCUCCUGAAUGCCCGUAGGCGAUCCUCCAUCAUCUCCACGAUCCCUUCCUUGAUCGACCCAAAGAUGAUGGGGGUCGACUCAAGGAUGCCCCUAGUGAUCUCCGACGUGAUGAACUCACGUAGCCUCUCCUCAAUCGGCUCGGUGCCAGAUCCCGAACCUGACCCCUCUCCUGACCCGCCAUCUGUCGGUCUCGGUCGAAGUACCACCAUUCUGCAAAACAUCAAUAAUAAUCAUUAGUGGUACUGCUACUUUCUGAGGGAUCUCAACUACUUACAGGUUCCUUGGUCUCGUCUUGGCCUUCCUCGGCUCGGGUACGGAUCCUCUGCUUUCAGUAGUACGGGCCCAUACUACCUUCCACAUCUAUCCGUACCUUCUCCGAGGAAUUCCUCGACUCCACCAACUCCCCUCUACUACUGCUACUCUCCGAUAUUCUCACCCUAGGCUUGCCCUAGGGAGAACUCAAGUUCAACACAACUGGUCCUCAGCUGCUGUAGGUCUCCUCAUAAUGCCAGUUAGCCACCACCUAAACACCAUCACAUGUAAUGAGGAUUAGAUAAUCCUUCAAGUAAAAGAUCCGUCCCUACAACGGUUGGACUCAAACAAGAGCUGCGCAAUAGGGCCAGUUCCAACACUUUGGGAUUAUUCAACCCUGAUUACAUGUGGUGUGACGUGUUUACCUAGUGGCUCACUCCCAUUACUCAGAAUCCCACCGAGCACGAAGCAAGCAGCAUUCGGAUAAGGAAAAACAGACUCAAGCCAAAACUGUUCUUAGAACAAGAAACGACACUUAACAUAGGAUGCUAAGCUCAUACUAUCAGGCAUAACCUAAACAGGCUACCCUACUGCUGUCUACUCAAUUCUAGCAUGCAAUAUUCAAUAAGCUGGAACAAAUAAACAGGCACAUAAGGCAUCACUCCUAGAUCCUUAGCCUAUUCUAGCAUGCAAUAUUCAUAAAGCUGAUAAACAUAACAUAAACUUGUAUGGGUACUAUGGGGAAUACUUACUUGAGCUCGGCCGGUCGCGCACGUCACACACUUCGUUCUUUCUCAAAACUCUUUUCUCAAUUUUAGAAAACAUUUUCUUUUAGAAAAUCUUUUAAUCCCUCGAUUUGAGUUCAAACACUCCCGAAGGUGUGUCCGAAUCCCUCAAACCAGGGCUCUGAUACCAACUUGUAACGACCCAAUUUUUACGUCCGAAAAUUUCAUUUUUAAGAUAUUACUUUAGAAAACAUUAAUAAAUAAAAACAUUGUCUAAAUAAAAAGAAACAUUGUUUGUUCACACCAUAACACAUUGCAACCAUGUUCUAAAAAGCCACACCAUACAUCCCAUCAAAAUAUCAGAGUACAGUCCCAGUAAAUCUCAUAAAUGCGGAAACCGAAGAGUGUGUGUAUGACGUGCCGCUACCGCGCCGGCUCCUUCCCCUUCGAUGCAGAGGUACCUGAAAACAAAACUGUAAACGUAAGCACAAAGCUUAGUGAGUUCCCCCAACGUACCGCAUACCAUACGAACACAUAACAUAUAUACUGCCAGGCUAUUCUGGGGUGCCUGACUACCCGGUACGGCCAUUCUGGGGUGCCGACCUACCCGUGUCAAGCCAUUCUGGGGUGCUGACCUACCCAUACGGCCAUUCUGGGGUGCCGUCUUACCCGUGUCAAGCCAUUCUGGGGUGCUGACUACCCAUCGGUCCUGACAACCGAUUCUCGGGGACUAUUUCACCCCUACUACUAUGAUCACAUAUAACAUAACAAGCCAGCAUGCAAACAUAUCAUCACAUACUGUCAGACGUAUCUGGGGUGUCUGACUACCCUUCGGUCCUAACGACCGAACUUUACUACUAUCACAGACAACAUAUCAUGCUAGCAUAUCACAUAUCAGGUAAUAGCAAACUUAGAUGAUAUCACAAAGACAAUCAUCUACCAUACAUCUCCUACUGGUGGGUCGGCAUUGUGGCCUUAGACCCACCGCUACUGGAAGGUAACUCACCUCAAAGUAGCUGCUGAACUGAUCGGAAACUGACUGCCUACUGCUGCCGCUGCUGCUCCGGAAAUCCUCCGGCUGCAAUUUCCACAAUAAACCCAAUCAAACAUUGCUCACUGACCUUUGGGUAAAAUGACCAUUUUACCCAUGACCAUGCCCUAAGUCAAAGUCAGAGUCAACUUUCAGUUGACCCGACUCGCCGAGUUGGCUUUC